GAUGAACGCUGGCGGCGUGCCUAAUACAUGCAAGUCGAGCGAAUGGAUUAAGAGCUUGCUCUUAUGAAGUUAGCGGCGGACGGGUGAGUAACACGUGGGUAACCCGCCCAUAAGACUAGGAUAACUCCGGGAAACCGGGGCUAAUACCGGAUAACAUUUUGAACCGCAUGGUUCGAAAUUGAAAGGCGGCUUCGGCUGUCACUUAUGGAUGGACCCGGGUCGCAUUAGCUAGUUGGUGAGGUAACGGCUCACCAAGGCAACGAUGCGUAGCCGACCUGAGAGGGUGACCGGCCACACUGGGACUGAGACACGGCCCAAACUCCUACGGGAGGCAGCAGUAGGGAAUCUUCCGCAAUGGACGAAAGUCUGACGGAGCAACGCCGCGUGAGUGAUGAAGGCUUUCGGGUCGUAAAACUCUGUUGUUAGGGAAGAACAAGUGCUAGUUGAAUAAGCUGACACCUUGACGGUACCUAACCAGAAAGCCACGGCUAACUACGUGCCAGCAGCCGCAGUAA
rnacentral:rRNA from 1 species